rnacentral:misc_RNA from 1 species
AAGUCGUAACAAGGUUUCCGUAGGUGAACCUGCGGAAGGAUCAUUAACACGUGAAAACGUAUUAAUUUACCUUUUAACAACCUGUGAAUUUCACAUACCUAUUCAACUGUCGCUGUACCAUACAUUCUGUAGUAGGAUAUGACUUCGGUCAUAUGCAAAUGUAUGACUACUGAGGUUUAAUCCUAAGGUGGCUUUUGUUAGGCUUUUUAUUACCCCUACUACUAAGCCCAAAACCAAACCUAUUUCACUAACUAAACCAAUUUUGACUGAUGUACGUUGAUAGUACAGAAAUGUACUGGAUCAACACCAUUUAUCUAAACUAAGCACAACUCUUAGCAAUGGAUAUCUUGGUUCUC